GUUCUCUUUGGCAGAAGAUAUACUAAAAUUGCAGUGAUACAGAGAAGAUUAGCAUAGCCCCUGAGCAAGGAUGACACACAAAUUUGUGAAGUCUUCCAUAUUGGA
ensembl:snRNA U6 U6 spliceosomal RNA